AAAAAUAACAAAUAACCAUCCACAAGCAAGACACCAAAUUUACGUGGAAAACCCUCUAAAAUUAAGAGGUAAAAACCACAGGUCAAACUCCGAAUCUCCACUAUAUCACUAAUAAUGGGCUUACAAUAAUCCUCUCAAGUUUUAUGCCCUAAAACUUGAGGUUACACAAUAAAUUGAGAUAUUAUAAAUUUACCUUUAAUUAGGUUGAGAAACAUAAUUAACUUCACCACCCGUGUAAAAUACGACUAAACAUAUGAUGUGAGUUUUAAUACAAAUAUUGUCAUCUAGACAAUAUACAAACUCAAUGGGGUCCUCAUUAUAUUUAUUAUCAAUCUAUUUCAUAGAAUAAUGAGGACUACUAAUGCACCAUCUAGGACCAUCACUCUGUUUCUCUCGACUAGUCCCUGCUACGUUCUCAUUUCCUGAAGAGAACAAUGAAAGCAAAAGGGUGAGCUCAACUAGCCCAGUAAGAAAUAUUAUGACUAAGAUAAUGCAGAAUAAGGUAUCAUUAGCCUUCAACAGUAUAACAACUAAUAUAAUAUAAUAGACAACAUGUUUUAGAUAAAAAAACUGCAGCGGAAUAAGCAAUCCAUUAGAAGAGUCAAGUAAAGUAUAAAAUCUAUUAUCUUCUAUGAUUUAAAAAGUUUUUCAUCAACUUUAUUGCUGAGACUCAGCUUAAUAAAUAAAAUCGAAUCAUCCCUGCUACACGGCCAAGGAUAUUCAUGUAAUCAUCAAUGGUCAUGACUAUACCGAAUAAUCCCUGGUCAUAAUCAUAGCAACAACUGUCCACCAAUGAACUACAGGCCAAUGAAGACUUUUACCACAUCAUUCGUCACAUUACGGUCAUGAUUAUACCGAAUAAUCCCUGGUCAUAAGCAUAUCAAGUUCAUCUAAUCACUACAGGCCACAAUGACUUUCAACAUAUUAUAAACAUGAGGAUGAUGACAAUGACAUAAUAAUUCAAUAAAACAAGUUCAAGAAUUAAUUUAUCCAGGAACCAAUAACGUCCAAAUUGUCAACAUGAUACUACUUUGUGCAGUAAAAAUUCAAGAAUUCUCAGAAGAAUAUUUCCAUGAAAAGAUACUGGAUGAAGCGCAAAUAUCAAGGAUAUUCAACUAAUUUCAUGGAGUAUAAAAGUCAAAACUUUAACCAACUGAGUAUAAUAAAGAAUGGAAUAACAAAAGAAAUCACCAGGCAUACGAUAGACCGCACAGACAGGUUAUUCCAACAGAAUAAUAAAUAACGGAACCAGGUCAUGCAUAAAGCACAGACAAGAUUUUCCUACAGAAUAAUAAAUAAUGGAACCAGGUCAGGCGUAAUACGCACCGACAGGAUAUUCCAACAAAAUAAUAAAUAAUGGAAUAACAGAAGAAUUUCACCAUGUAUGCGGUACUUCGCAUAAAUAGGUUAUUCCAACAUAAUGAUAAAAAAUAGAAUAACAGAAGAAUUUCAUCAAGUAUAGGGUAGCCCGCGUAUACAGGUUAUUCCAACAGAAUAAUAAAGAAUGGAAUAACAAAAGUUCUCUUCACGAAUAAGAAAGAAAGAAUACCCCUUACGAGUAUAAAAAAAAAUAUCACUUACAAGUACAAUAAAUAAUAUUCCUUACGAGUACAACAAAUAAUAUUCCUUACGAGUACAACAAAUAAUAUUCCUUACCUUAUAAAGAAGAGUACUCCGACGGGUAGGGCGGGGAUAUACUUGAAGAAAACAUGCACUACACUCAAAGCUUUCUUAAACUCUAAAGAAAUACGCUCAAGAUUAUAGAAGAAGAACUCUCUCUAUAGUUUCUCUCUCUAGAGUUUCAGUGAAUUCGUAAGAAAUAAUGAAGGAAUGAGCUUCUAUUUAUAGAAGAAUGGACUGCAUAGUAACUAAUUCAAGAACGGUCCAGAUUGAUUUACUUUAAAAGGACGGUCCAGAUUUAAAACAAAAUCUUUUAAAUAAAAUAAAAUAUAUUAUAUUUAUAAUCUAGUAAAACGAAUAACUUUAUAAAAGUAUUCUCCUUUAUAUAAAAAGAUUUUACUAUGCAAAAUACUAUGUAGGCACUAUGCAACACUAUGCAUAAUAAAGUAUAAUAUAUUCUAUUUAUAGUCUAAUAAAACAAAUAACUUUAUAAAAGUAUUCUGUUUUAUAUAAAAAGAUUUUACUAUGCAAAACACUAUGCAUAAUAAAAUAUAAUAUAUUCUAUUUAUAGUCUAAUAAAACGAAUAACUUUAUAAAAGUAUUCUGUUUUAUAUAAAAAGCUUUUCUGUUUUAUUACAUUAAUAAUACUAAUAAAACAAAACUGAGUGACUUAUCACAUAAGCAUCAAUAAUCAUUACCGUGUGCUACUAUGCAACCACGCGUAUUACUGUACUUUUAUGACCGAGUAGUUCAACAUUAUUAACGGUAAACUUCCACCAUUAUUUUCAUAAAAUAUUUUUAUUGUUUUCUCAAUCCGACAAUAAUUCUCUUGCGGGGUCCACCAAUGAUUGUGUCGUUGUACGAAUAUUCCCUGAUAAAACGAAUAUUCCCCGACCAAUCGAAUAUUAUAUAACAACUUGCAUACUUUGCAAAAUUUAUAAAUACUAUCCAUAACUAUAAUAUUGUCGACGUUGGGAUUUUUGGAUGUCCCUUUCCGUUACUUGUUCUUUGGUGUUCUCAUUUUAGGUGAGAUUUGUUUGAAAAAACAAGUGAAAAAGGUCCGACAUGUAUAAUGUCAACGAUGGAGUGUUAAGAGUCGCCAGUUGGUUUUUUAAAUGGUUGUACCAACACAACCGAGAAAAGGUUUGCACAUUGACCCAGUGAUGUGACACUGCUAAACGGGUCGGUGAAACCGAGAUUCAUUAGGGUCCCGGGACUUGGUUAUGCGGGGGGAAGGUGUUAGGUACCCCCCGACAUCCGUGUUACAAUGGUGACCGCCUCUUUUCAAGAAACUGUUAUCUGAAUAUGUGUGUGUGGGUCAAUGUGCUGUUAUUUGGAAGUAGUGCGAGGCCUCGUUCGAACCUAUAUACACAGGGUUUGAAUUUAUGUAAAAAUUUAUUUUUUAGAAAGAUAUGGCAGUGAUGUUUUAUAAAAGAGGUUUUUCAAACUCUGAUGCUCAAUAGUAAUUGAGACCUUUUAGACUCCCAUUAUAUUAAGUGCUCGGCUUGAUUGAUUUUAUUUUACGAAUGCGAGGCAUCCGUAUGAAAAUAAUGUACAUAAUAAUGCCGACCUCCUAAUGGGCAUGGAAACUAUCUGAGAAAAUUCAGACACCGCAGAAUAAUUUACAAGCUGCUUACAGCUGAAAAUGUCCAUCAUGGGAACCAAAUCUAGAUCCAAUGGGAUGAAUCUGUGAUCACAUGAUUCCUAGGCGCACAGAAUACUGUAAUUUAUAUGAAAGCAGUAAGUAGGUAUAUAUAUAAAAGCUGUAAAUAUAUAUAUACAGACAUGAUCACCACCCAUGAAGCACCUCCAUGGGGGAUCAGAAAAUGUAAAUAAAGCUGUUAAAGCUAUCAACCGUCACGGAGGAAACUCUAGGCAGGACAAAACGUAAAUAAAGCUGUAAAUACGGUCAACCGCCACGAAGGAAACUCCAGGAGGGACGAAAUGUAAAUAAAGCUAUAAAUACGGUCAACCGCCACGAAGGAAACUCUAGGCGGGACGAAAUAUAAAUAAAGCUGUAAAAGCGAUCAACUGCCACGAAGGAAACUCCAGGUAGGACGAAUAUAUAUAUAUAUAUAUAUAUAUAUAUAUAUGUGUGUGUGUGUCUGUGUGUGUAUANNNNNNNNNNNNNNNNNNNNNNNNNNNNNNNNNNNNNNNNNNNNNNNNNNNNNNNNNNNNNNNNNNNNNNNNNNNNNNNNNNNNNNNNNNNNNNNNNNNNUAAACGCUCCAGACCGAAGUCUAGGCUCAAUCGAGACAUAACUCGAUAAUGUUAGUCAAUAUAUAUAUAUAUAUAUAUAUAUAUAUAUAUAUACAGACUGAAAUGAAACCACAGACCGAAGUCCGAGCAAAAGCAAGCAACGCGACUCUCAACGUAUAGAAGGGUGUGUGCAGAGAUGAAGAGAAAGACUCUAAAGUGUGUGAGAAGGCUUAUAGUUGACUGCCAAAGAAGACUUUUAUAUCUUUAGAGUAGGUAAACACAUACUUUUGUAGGUAUAAAAGGGCUAUAUAUGAGCUCACAGGUGUUUAAAAGGGGAAAAUACACUGCAUGGGGUGAGUGCAGAGCAAAUUGGGCAGGGCUUCCUCGCCUUUUUUCUCUUUGAAAAUCAGCACCCCAAGCCCUCUAUCUAUAGGCAUUUUAGCCGCAGGUGUACCCGUGGCUGAGCCACAGGUGUACCAGAGGCAACCCGGGUGGGCCCGAGUUUUUUGGGUCGGGUCGUCUCAAAGUACGUGCACUUAGGCACUAUAAUGUCCACUCAAACUUUCAGAUGUGAAAUCUGGGCAUCCGUUUGUGGUAUACAGGACCUAUUUCGGACUGCCAUUGUCGAGAGUUGUACGAUGGCAUGGGACUAGAGUUUGUACGAAGUCAUUGAAGAUGGGACGAUGCCCUCCGGUCUUCAAGCUUCAACUUUCAUCUGUUACCCCGCACAAUAGUCACUCGAGAUUGGUUAGUCUUGUGGGACAUUGUUGCGUAGAGAUGUGACGUGGCAUCAUGUUAAUGAUGUUGCACCUCACCGGUGUUAUCGCCGGAUUGGGCUGAUAAAACAAACGUUUCUCAAGCUUCGCUGAGAUUGGACUGUUGCAAUUUGUUGAAGGUCCUCAUUGUCAUCUUUGAGGUGUGCCUGUCUUCCCGAUAUUAUCUCCGGGUUGGUACAUUGUAUCUUGUUGUGAGCGCCGAGAUUGAAGCUGGUUGCAUUUGAAACAAGCAUUUUUGGGGUUAUCGCCGAAACUGCAUUCCUUAGGGUUAUCACCAAGGUUGGUGGCUAUUCCCAUGGUUAGGACUGAGACUGGAUACCUCGGGGUCAUCUCCAAGAUUAUUCGGUCUUCUCCGGUGUGUGUUCCGGUAUUGUAUCUGCAGGCCUCGGGGUUACAUCCGAGGUUGGAAUUGUUACUCCCAGAUUGCGAUCCAUGGUUGAUGCUGAACUUCCGGUAGUAUCCGGUAUGGAUUUGGAUUGUCUUUCAGGGAUCCCUCAUAAAAGACGAAUCUGUCCUCCUGCAAUGUUAGUAACAGUAGUACAGAAAAUUUCGAGUGUCUACAAACAUUAUAUCAAAUCCACACCAUAAUAUUCAAAAAAAUUAUUUCGACAAAAUUAAAUAUUUAGUCAUAAAAUUUGGGGUCUCACAGAGAUGAUGGCGGAUACCCACGAACAACAAAUAGUAAUUCUCUCAAUUUAUUCUUUUGGUAUCUUCUUACUACCAAGCUUAUCUCAUAUAUCAAAUAAGACUCCAUCAUAGUCUUAUUUAUAGUACUCUUCAUAAUCCAUUCCUGUUGGGAGAGUGCAUAUUUUGAUUUGAUGUUUAAAUAUAAAUGUUCAUGAUUAUAUGUAAAGUCCUUAGACAAAUACAUGUACAAGGACUUAGUGAAAGAUCAAAUUUGUUAGGUUGAUCUACAUCUUGAAGUGUAAUAGAUAGGCUUCAACAAGAAUCGUAGUGUAUCAAGCUGAUCAAGAUUACAGAAGCCAAGGCAGAAACGUAGAGAAUCGAGGAUUGUAAUGUACCUGCCUUGAAGGACCUUUUCAGAAAUCGUAGAGUGGUCCCAACGUUUGCCGAGCCAACUCAGAGAUCGUAGUGUGCUCUCGAAAACGUUGUGACGCCACCAAAAUAGGUAUACAUCACCCAUCUUGAGUCGCCAAAUACAUGGUACAAAAUUCAAAUACAACUUAAUCAUACAACAGUCGUGUAAAAUACGACUAAACAUAUGCUGUUAGUUUUAAUACAAAUAUUGUAAUCUAGACAAAUACAAACUCAAUGGGGGUCCUUAUUACAUUUAUUAUCACACUAUUUCACAGAAUAGUGAGGACUACUAAUGCACCAUCUAGGACCAUCACUCUGUUUCCCCCGACUAGUCCCUGAUACGUUCUCAUUUCCUGAAGAGAACAAUGAAAGCAAAAGGGUGAGCUCAACUAGCCCAGUAAAUAAUAUUAUGACUAAGAUAAUGCAGAAUAAUUUAUCGUUAGCCUUCAACGGUGUUAAACUGAUAAAAUAUAAUAAACAUCAAGUUUAACUGCAGCGAAACAAGCAAUCCAUUAGAAGAGUCAAGUAGAGAAUAAAAUCUACUAUCUUCUAUGAUUUAAAAGGUUUUUCAUCACUUUUAUCGCUGAGACUAAGCUUAAUAAAUAAUUCACAUCAUCAAAUCAUCCCUGCACUACAGGCCAAGGAUAUUCUAUAGUAUCACGACCAAUAAUUAUCCAUGCACUACAGGCCAAAAAUAAUCGUGUUUUCUUCAACGGUCCUAAUCAUGCCAUUAAACAAUUCAUCUUUGCACCCUUGGCCGAAGAGAAUCCAUAGCCAUAAUCAUACCAAAAAUUGUCCAUCAAUGUUCUAUAGGCCAAUGAGGACUUUUUCACAUCAUUUGUAAUAUUAUUGUCAUGAUUAUACCGAAUAAUCCCUGGUCAUAAUCAUACCAAGUCCAUCUAUGCACUACAGGCCACAAAUGACUUUCAACAUAAUAUAAACAUGAGGAUGAUGACAAUGACAUAAUAAUUCAAUAAAAUAAGUUCAAGAAUUAAUUUAUCCAGGAACCAAUAACGUCCAAAUUGUCAACAUGAUACUUCUUUGUAAAGUAACACUCAAGAAUGCUCAAAAGAAUAUUUCCAUGAAAAGAUAUUGGAUGAAGCGCAAAUAUCAAAGAUAUUCCACUAAUUUCAUAGAGUAUAGAAGUCAAAACUUUAACCAACUGAGUAUAAUAAAGAAUGGAAUAACAAAAGAAAUCACCAGGCUUGUGAUAGACCGCACAGACAGGUUAUUCCAACAGAAUAAUAAAUAACGGAACCAGGUCAUGCGUAAAACACAGACAUGAUGUUCCAACAGAAUGAUAAAGAACGGACCUAGGUCAUGCGUAAACGUACAAACAUGAUAUUCCAACAGAAUAAUAAAUAAUGGAAACAGGUCAGGCGUAAUACGCACAGACAGGAUAUUCCUAUAGAAUAAAAAAGAAUGGAAUAACAGAAGAAUUUCACCAUGUAUGCGGUACUUUGCAUAAACAGGUUAUUCCAACAUAAUGAUAAAGAAUGGAAUAACAGAAGUUCUCUUCAUGAAUACAUAAGAAAUAAUACCCCUUACGAGUACAACAAAUAAUAUCCCCUACGAGUACAACAAAUAAUAUCCCCUAUGAGUACAACAAAUAAUAUCCCCUACCGUAAAAGAAUAGUAUUCCGACUGGUAGGGCGAGGAUAUACUCGAAGAAAACUUGUACUACGCUCAAAGCUUUCUUAAACUCUAAAGAAAUACGCUCAAGAUUAUAGAAGAAGAACUCUCUCUAUAGUUUCUCUCUCUAGAGUUUCAGUGAAUUCGUAAUAAAUAAUGAAGGAAUGAGCAUCUAUUUAUAGAAGAAUGGACUGCAUAGUAACUAAUUCAUGAACGGUCCAGAUUGAUUUACUUUUAAUCGGACGGUCCAUAUUUAAAGCAAAAUCUUUUAAAUAAAAUAUAAUAUAUUCUAUUUAUAAUCUAAUAAAACGAAUAACUUUAUAAAAGUAUUCUGUUUUAUAUAAAAAGAUUUUACUAUGCAAAACACUAUGCAGGCACUAUGCAACACUAUGCAUAAUAAAAUAUAAUAUAUUCUAUUUAUAGAAUAACUUUAUAAAAGUAUUCUGUUUUAUAUAAAAAGAUUUUACUAUGCAAAACACUAUGCAUAAUAGAAUAUAAUAUAUUCUAUUUAUAGUAUAAUAAAAUGAAUAACUUUAUAAAAGUAUUUUGUUUUAUAUAAAAAGCUUUUCUGUUUUAUUGCAUUAAUAAUACUAAUAAAAUAAAACUGAGUGACUUAUCACGUAAGCAUCAAUAAUCAAUACCGUGUGCUAAUAUACAACCACACAUAUUACUGUACUUUUACUACCGAGUAGUUCAACAGUUUUAAAGGUAAAACUUCCGCCGUUAUUCUCAUAAAAAUAUUUUUUGUCAUUUUCUCAAUCCGACAAUAAUUCCGUUGUGGGGUCCACUAAUGAUUGUACCGUCGUACGGAUAUUCUCCGACAAAAAGAAUAUUCCCCGACUAAUCGAAUAUUAUAUAACAACUUGCAUACUUCUCAAAAUUUAUAAAUAUUAUCCAAAACUAUAAUAUUAUCUCAAAUCCACACCAUAAUAUAAAAAAAAAUAUUUCGAGAAAUUUAAAUAUUUAUUCAUAAAAUCUGGGGUCUCACAAUCUCCCCUCCUUAUGAAAUUUUGCCCUCGAAAUUUACGUACGUACCUGGUAUGUCAAAGAGGUGAGGAUACCUUGACUUCAUUUCAGAUUCUAUUUCUUGAGGUAUAACCUUUGAGUGUUGAAUACGAUCCUUCUUAUCCAAGAUUUUAACACGUAUCUCCUCAUACGUUAAAUCUUCUGCUAUAUCGUUUAGUUCUAAUUUAAUAAUGUGGUUCGGGUUGUCCACACAUUUACGUAACCUCGAUAUGAAAAAAAAACGUUCUGAACACGCAACAUACUUGGCGAUAAAAUGAGUCUAUAGGCCACAGUUCCUACUUCAUCGAGGAUUUCAAAUAGGCCAAUUAAAUCGAGGGUUGAGAUUUCCUCUUUUUGUCGAUUCUUGCUUCUAGAAUAACGCCCUCUUGAACCUUCUUCUUUACAUUCAUCAGCUCCGGGUGUGUAGCUUGAGCGGCUUUAACUUUAUCUAUUAAAGUCAAUUCUACUCGUAUAUUCGUUAUCUUUACGUGGGUUCGUAUAUUCGCACUUGUAACCGCAUACGAUCUUCUACUCAACGCGUUAGCUACAAUGUUUGCUUUUCCUACGAUGGUAUUGAAUGGUACGAUCGUAAUCUUCAACAUCUCGAGUCAACGUCUUUGGCGCAAUUUACGUUCAUUUUAGUUGAAGAAAUAUUUGAGGGUUUAAGAAAUGGGUUUUGUACUGGGGUCAAUACAAAAUUCAAUUUCACGCUCUAGGGGUAGGCUAAGAAGUCUUCAAGAAUACGUCAGGAAAUUUAUUAACAAUAGAAAUAUCAUUCAAAACUGUGACCCUCAUCCAAGACUUGGAUAGUAUGUCACAUUGCUACCUAUCAACUUGUCAUCGCCAUUCAUGACGUCGCCUACAAAAAGUCUGGCUUCGGUGCAUUCGACACAAGGAAGUCAACAAUGAAAGGACCGUGGCUCUUUACUUAUGGCUUGAUAUGAGAAUGAUUGACUUUAGUGGUUUGGUUACUUGAAUUCGCAUAACAGGUUGGUUAGGAAUAUGAAAGCUAACAACCUUACGAAAAUCAUGAUGAGUAGUUAACCAAUCGAUUCCUAAAAUCGCAUCAAAGGCAAGUAUUUUCAAAGAGAUAAGAUUGACAGGUAACGUGAAAGUGUCAAUUUAAAUUAAACAAGAUUUAUAAAUAGUGGAUGUAACAAAGGUUUCUCCCAACUGAGUUUCAACAGAUAAAUCAAAAUCUAGCUUCUCCGGAGUUAAAUUCAAACAUUGAACACAACUAGGUGAAAUAAAAGAGUGGGUAGAACUAGUAUCUAAUAAGGUAUAAACUUCGCAAGAGUUUAUCAUUAACUUACCCGUAAUAACUUCGUUCGGGUUCCUCAACAAACGCUCUCACUUAAACUACUGGAUUUGACUUUGCUAUAGGGUACAUUCCACCCUUAAGUGCUUCUUCACAUUCCUGAUCCAUGAUUUGAAUCAUUACUCUUCGAUCCAUAUCGAAUUGGGGUUGACCGCUCUGCACAGGGUAAUUCCGAAUUCGAUGUUGGAUUCUCCCAAUUGUUGUCCAAAAAGCAAAAUCCAUUUCAUCUAUUUUGGCCUUAUUGGACCGAACGUCUUUUUCUACAAUAUCUACGCGUCGUGCGGAUUUUACCCAUGCAUCAUCUAUUCUCCUCCGUUCAGUUGUUUCUUCUUUCAUCAGAACUUUGAUCAUAGCAUUCUCAGAUUCCAACUCUAAUAUCUUAUAUUCUGUUAAAGAGUGUUUGUGUUCAAGCAUCGCGCAUCAGGUAACACAAUUUUGAAUUGUUACAUCUCUUUGCUCUACGACCGCCUGCCGUUCUUCAGCCUGCUCUUCUAACUCAUGAAUACGAUUUUGUAAUUCUAAAUUUUGAUCAUAAAAUUCUUCUAAUAAAUUAUCCUCAGGUUCCUCUUCUUCAUCUUCUUCCUCACUCUCAGCUGCUACCUCUACAAUUAGCUCGGGUGAAACUAUUAGUUCUUCAUUCACCACGUAGAUAUCUCCAAUUUCUUCUUCGUUUGACAUCACAUUAACCUGGUUAGUGAUUAAAGGUGUCUCAACGGUCUCAUUCACUCCAUUGUGAACAUUUUUAGCUCCCAUUUUCAAACACUGCCAAAAAAAAAACAAUGGUUAAUUAACAUAUCACAUAUUAUCCCUAUACUCUGACCGACCAAUUAAAUACCAAAUAAACUUAGGUAGGUCAUACUAGCGAAGGAAUUCCCCAUCUCUCCCCUCCUAGUUCUUGUCUCACAUCUUAGCCAGGGAUCAUAUCCCUAAGCUUUGAUACCAACUGUGACGCCCCCAAAAUAGGUAUACAUCACCCAUCUUGAGUCGCCAAAUACAUGGUACAAAAUUCAAAUACAACUUAAUUAUACAACAGUCGUGUAAAAUAUGACUAAACAUAUGCAGUGAGUUUUAAUACAAAUAUUUUCAUCUAGACAAUAUACAAACUCAAUGGGGUCCUUAUUACAUUUAUUAUCACACUAUUUCACAGAAUAGUGAGGACUAUUAAUGCACCAUCUAGGACCAUCACUUUGUUUCCCUCGACUAGUCCCUGUUAUGUUCUCAUUUCCUGAAGAGAACAAUGAAAGCAAAGGGGUGAGCUCAACUAGCCCAAUAAGAAAUAUUAUGACUAAGAUAAUGCAGAAUAAUUUAUCGUUAGCCUUCAACGGUGUUAAACUGAUAAAAUAUAAUAAACAUCAAGUUUAACUGCAGCGGAACAAGCAAUCCAUUAGAAGAGUCAAGUAGAGAAUAAAAUCUACUAUCUUCUAUGAUUUAAAAGGUUUUUCAUCACUUUUAUCGCUGAGACUCAGCUUAAUAAAUAAUCCACAUCAUCAAAUCAUCCCUGCACUACAGGCCAAGGAUAUUCUUUAGUAUCACGACCACGAAUUAUCCAUGCACUACGGGCCAAAGAUAAUCGUGUUUUCAUCAACAGUCCUGAUCAUGCCAUAAAACAAUUUAUCUUUGCACCCUUGGCCGAAAGAAUCCAUAGCCAUAAUCAUACCAAAAAUUGUCCAUCAAUGCUCUUUGGGCCAAUGAGGACUUUUUUCACGUCAUUUAUAAUAUUACGGUAAUGAUUAUACCGAAUAAUCCCUGGUCAUAAUCAUACCAAGUCCAUCUAUGCACUACAGGACACAGAUGACUUUCAACAUAAUAUAAACAUGAGGAUGAUGACAAUGACAUAAUAAUUCAAUAAAACAAGUUCAAGAAUUAAUUUAUCCAGGAACCAAUAACGUCUAAAUUGUCAACAUGAUACUUCUUUGUAAAGUAACACUCAAGAAUGCUCAGAAGAAUAUUUCAAUGAAAAGAUACUAGAUGAAGCGCAAAUAUCAAGGAUAUUCCACUAAUUUCAUGGAGUAUAGAAGUCAAAACUUUAACCAACUGAGUAUAAUAAAGAAUGGAAAAAAAAAAGAAAUCACCAGGCAUGCGAUAGACCGCACAGACAGGUUAUUCCAACAGAAUAAUAAAUAACGGAACUAGGUCAUGUGUAAAGCACAUACAUGAUGUUCCAACAGAAUGAUAAAGAAUGGAACCAAGUCAUACGUAUACGCACCGACAGGAUAUUCCUACAGAAUAAUAAAGAAUGGAAUAACAAAAGAAUUUCACCAUGUAUGCGGUACUUCGCAUAAACAGGUUAUUCCAACAUAAUGAUAAAGAAUGGAAUAACAGAAGUUCUCUUCAUGAAUACAAAAGAAAUAAUACCCCUUACGAGUACAACAAAUAAUAUCCCCUACGAGUACAACAAAUAAUAUCCCCUACGAGUACAACAAAUAAUAUUCCCUACCAUAAAAGAAUAGUAUUCCGACUGGUAGGGCGAGAAUAUACUCGAAGAAAACUUGUACUACGCUAAAAGCUUUCUUAAACCCUAAAGAAAUACGCUCAAGAUUAUUGAAGAAGAAAUCUCUCUAUAGUUUCUCUCUCUAGAGUUUCAGUGAAUUCGUAAGAAAUAAUGAAUGAAUGAGCUUCUAUUUAUAGAAGAAUGGACUGCAUAGUAACUAAUUCAUGAACGGUCCAGAUUGAUUUACUUUUAAUUGGUCGGUCCAUAUUUAAAGCAAAAUCUUUUAAAUAAAAUGUAAUAUAUUAUAUUUAUAAUCUAAUAAAAUGAAUAACUUUAUAAAAGUAUUCUCUUUUAUAUAAAAAGAUUUUACUAUGCAAAACACUAUGCAGGCACUAUGCAACACUAUGCAUAAUAAAAUAUAAUAUAUUCUAUUUAUAGUCUAAUAAAACGAAUAACUUUAUAAAAAUAUUCUGUUUUAUAUAAAAAGCUUUUCUAUUUUAUUAUAUUAAUAAUACUAAUAAAACAAAAUUGAGUGACUUAUCACGUAAGCAUCAAUAAUCAAUACCGUGUGCUACUAUGCAACCACGCGUAUUACUGUACUUUUACUACCGAGUAGUUCAACAGUUUUAACGGUAAAACUUCCGCCGUUAUUCUCAUAAAAAUAUUUUUUGUCAUUUUCUCAAUCCGACAAUAAUUCCGUUGUGGGGUUCACCAAUGAUUGUACCGUCGUACGGAUAUUCCCCGACAAAAAGAAUAUUCUCUGACCAAUCGAAUAUUAUAUAACAACUUGCAUACUUCUCAAAAUUUAUAAAUAUUACCCACAACUAUAAUAUUAUCUCAAAUCCACACCAUAAUAUAAAAACAAAUAUUUCGAGAAAUUUAAAUCUUUAUUCAUAAAAUCUGGGGUCUCACAAACGUAGAGUUUGCAACCACAAACAAGUGAAGAUCGUAGUGUGCAAUUCUUUAAGAGAAUUCGUAGUGCUCCUAUUCGAUAGCAUCAGACCAAGCACCAAGGUGACAAGACAUCACGAUCUGGAUCGUAGAGUAUCAUCUGCCAUAUGUCAGAAGCAUCGAGCCCUACCUUUUGUUAGGAGACAAAUUCCAACAAAUGUGGAAUGAGUUUUGAACGUUGAAGUCCUCAUUAGUCCCAACGGUACAAAAGAUAUCCUUAGCAUACAAUGAAAGAAAUGUAUUGAAAAAGCUAAGGAAAGGACCAUAGGACAGAGAAAAAUACCUUUUCAGGUGUUAGGUGAGAAAGUAGACUGUUGUGUCAGUGGGCCAUAAUGCAUAUCAGAAGGUGUGCAGAAAAGUCUCCAUCAAAGCUCAGAAAUGUCAAACACAUUUAAUGACUCAACAAAAGGCUUCAAUGGAUAGAAUUCAAGGAACACAUAUAUGCAGAACAUGUGCAGAUGAGAGAUGCAAGAAAAUAUUGAAUAAAAGUGCACAAGAACUCUCAACGCUCAACUUUACAAUCUGAGAAAAAGAGAAAGCUUGCUCAGCUACUUAGUUCUUUCGAACAAGUGCUUAACAAUAGCUGAGUAGCAACCAUCAAGAACUCAACAACUACCAAUCAACUGAAGUAAGAGUUCCAAGUCAGAAGGAUAUGAAGAGUUCUAAGUGAACUGUGAAGAGCCAAGUCUGCUGGACUUGAAGAGUUCAAGAGUGAACUAAGAAGUUCCUAGACUGCUGGUCUAGAAGGAAUCUGUGUGAUUCAGAAAGUGUAUAAGACAUCCUUAGUGGAUUUCCUACUCGAGGAGUAUAAGAAUGAACUAAGAGCUUUUAAGUGCUCUGAACUACUUAAAACGACUGUGUCUAUUACAUUCUUGCUAUAACUGCCAUAUCUGCCAUAACUGCUAUAAUUGCCUCACUCUCAUUAACUCACUAUCUUAAGGGAGAUUAAAACUAAUAUUAAUUCCGCUAAGUUUUAAUCAUUAUUAACUAACAUGUUAAAUCGAAAAGAAUUUUAAAAUAUCUAUUCAACCCCCCCCCCCCCUUCUAGAUAACUAUUGUGCCUCCGGGAACUAACAAUUGGUAUCAGAGCAGGUUCUAUUAUACAGCCUAUAAAGCUUAAGUAGAUCCAAUGGCACACUUACCAAGCGAAUCAAGGACUUGAGGAGGCAGCAAGCCACUAAUGUGCAACAAAGAUAAAUUCGCAAACUGGAAAGUUAGGAUGCAAGCAUACAUGGACUCAAUAUAUGAAGAUCUAUUUGAGACUGUUCAAAAUGGGCCCUAUGUUCCAACAAAGCUUGCACCAACUACAGACGACCCAAAUAGAAUACAAAUAAAAGUCAAAGAGGAGUGGACAGACAACGAGAAGAGAGCUGUUCAACUCGACAAGAAGGCCAAGACUAUUUUGUUUCAAUCCUUAGAAGACGAUCUGUUCAAAAAUGUGGUCAACAACAAAACAACAACGGAGGUUUGGGAAGCACAACUCAUCAUGCAUGAAGGAACGGAAGAAGUAAGAGAAAACAAACAAUCUCUCCUGACACAACAGUAUGAAAUGUUCGCUCAUGUUUAAGGAGAAAAUUUCACUGCCACCUAUGAGAGAUUCAACGUUCUGCUCAACUCUCUACAAGCUUAUGGAAAGAUCUAUCCAAACAAAGAUCUAAUCAUAAAGUUCAUGAGGGCCUUACCAAGCAGGUGGGAUGCCAAAACCACUGGUAUUAGAGAGUCAAAGAAUCUCCACGAGAUGAUUGUUCAACAGCUAUACGAUAACCUUCUCACUUACGAACUGGAGCUGACUCAACGAGCAGAAACUCUGUCAGAAGGUAGAAAUAAGGAUAAGGGUGUUGCUCUCAAAGAAACUGAAAGUACCUCCAAGGUCAACACUGAAAUUGACUCGGACUAUGAUGAAGACGAUGAUGAAGACCUUGCAAUGCUGGUAAAAGACUAAGAAGGUUCAUGCAUCAUGGCAAAACCAGAAAGCCAAAGAAGGUCAGCAACUAUAGCAGCCAGGAGCAAAUGAAUGAUUUAUGCUACAACUGCAAGAAGCCUGGCCAUUUCAUUGCCAACUGCAACAAACCUCUCAGAGAAGAGCUAAAGAAGAAAUCACAUCCAAAGAAGGAAUACAAAGGCAACAAAAGGCCUCAGAAGAGAGACAAAGAACUUGUAGCUGGAGGAUUGUGAUUCAGACAAUGACUCAACUCCCGAAUCUGGAGAUGAUGAAGAUCCUCAAAUGGCUAAUUUGUGCCUAAUGGCCAAACAUGCAAAGGAAAAACUGAAGUCCAACAUACAUGAAGUAUCGAUGAGGUAUUUGACUUCAACUCUCCUGAUGUAGACAUUAAUGAUUUGAGAACUACACUGCAUGUCAUAACACUGAUCUGCAUCAAUACAUAAAGUGGUUCAGAGUUCUGUCUAAGGAUUAUUCACUUCUUCAAGAGGAGAAAAAGAAAGUUCAAGAAGAACUGGAAAUAACCCUUCUAAGUACUAACUUUCUCUCGAAGCUUGAGGCUGAGAAUGAGAUCUUAAAACAGACCAAUGAGCUCAAUACACAAAGAGAGUCCAAUCUAACCUCUAAAAUUGAGGAACUAGAAAAGACUAUCUCUACAUGGAAUAAAUCCUCAUUAUCCAUGGACUCCCUGCUCUCUAGUCAGAGAAGUACAUUUGACAGAACAGACUUAGGCUUUGGGGAAUCCACCUUAAAGCCAUGUGUGGAACAAAUAAAGGAAACUAACACUAGUAAUUCUUCAAGUUUUAGUAGAGGCAUUAAAUUUGUGAAAUCCUCACAGAAGGAGGAACCAGCCCAACCCUGCUCUACUGAUUCCAUCCAUACUCCAAGGAGUAAAGGAUCUCAUGCUUGCCUGGGUUUCAGAAAAAAGAAGAGUAACCCAUCCUCUACUCACCAACCUCGAAGGAUCGUAGAGUUAAGUAAGACUAACUCUACGAAUCAACUGGGAAGGUACAGUAGAGGUAAUGUAUACUCCUCACAAUUCAUGAAACCCAAGGACAUAUGGAAGAUGGAAAAUUAGUUUAACAGAAGGAUGACUAAAGAACCACAAAAGUCCAAUUGGAGAAUGAAUUCUCUCCCACACACAAGCAUGCAUCAUAUUAAAUGUUUUGUGUGCUAAAAAAUUGGUCACAAGGCUACAAAGUGCUAUUAUAAUUCCAUGCAUGUGAGACCCAAGAUCAAACAGAUUUGGGUCCCCAAGGGUACUAACAAAAUAGGACUCAUGCAAAUAUGGGUACAAAAAUGAAGGUUUAAUGUUACCACGGGAAAAGAGCUCCACGAUCACGACCUGAUAUCUGAACAGUGGAUGCUCAAGGCACAUGACUGGGAACAAAACCCUUUUGUCUAACUACAUAGAAAAGGAAGGUCCCUCAGUCAUCUUUGUAGACAACGGCUCUGGCAAGACAAGAGGAUAUGACUCAGCUGGAAAUGGAUCAGUGUCCUUCAGUAGAGUAGCCUAUGUGGAAGGACUACAACAUAAUCUUCUGAGCAUUAGCCAACUCUGCGACAAGGGUCACAAGUAACAUUCCUCAACAAUCAGUGUCAAGUCAGAGAUUUCAAGACAUCUGCUGUAAAGUUAACGGAACAAGAGAAGGAAAUGUCUACACAAUGAAUCUUGGACAACUAAGCUUAGAUGAAACAAUAUGCUUUCUGGCUAAAGCAUCUGAAGAAAUGAGCUGGCUAUGGCAUAGACGAUUGUCUCAUUUAAACUUCAAAAGCAUGUCCAAGCUGGCCUCAAAAGAUCAUGUUGCAGAUGAAACAAUAUGCUUUCUAGCUAAAGCAUUUGAAGAAAUGAAUGGCAUAGACGAUUGUCUCAUUUAAACUUCAAAAGCAUGUCUAAGCUGGCCUCAAAAGAUCUUGUUGCAGGCCUACCUAAGUUCAACUUCGUCAAAGAAAGGCCAUGCAAUGCCUGUCAGCUUGGAAAACAAACCAGAAGCUCAUUUAAGAGUAAAACUGCCAACUCAAUCGACAAGCCCCUACAGCUGCUCUACAUGGAUCUUUUUGGGCCAAUUCCAAUGACAAGUCUCGGAGGGAAAUAUACUCACUGGUUAUAGUCAACGACUACACCAAGUUCACACGGGUGUUCUUUCUAACAUCUAAGGAUGAAACAAGCCCCCAACUGAUCAUGAUGUUCAGACUGGUGAUGAACGAGAAAGGAGAGAAAAUCAAGGCUAUAAGGAGUGAUCAUGGUAGAGAAUUCGACUUCUUAUAAAUGGACUAGUUCUACACAGACAAUGACAUCAGUCAUAACUUCUCAGCUCCACGAACUCCACAACAAAAUGGAGUAGCUGAGAGAAAGAACAGAACUUUGAUAGAAGCUGGAAGAACUCUACUAGCAGCAGCCCAUCUGCCUGAAUACGUUUGGGCAGAAGCUGUCAACACUGCAUGCUACACUCAGAACAGAUCACUCAUACACUCUACGAUCAAGAAAACUCCCUAUGAACUGUGGAAAGGAAGAAAGUCAAGUGUCAGCUACUUUCAUGUAUUCGGCUGUGCAUGCUACAUUCUCAACAAUGGAAAGCAGUACUUGACAAAGUUUCAACCCAAGUCAGACGAAGGAAUAUUUCUUAGAUAUGCCACAAACAGUAAAAGCCUACAGAGUGUUCAACAAGAAGACACUAAGUGUUGAAGUCUCGAUUCACAUCAUUUUUGAUGAAACAGACUUGGACAAAACAAUGCCUCAAGACACUACAACCGACAGUUCAGACACUACGAACGAGGUCGUCGAGCUCAACACUACGAUCGUAGUACCAGAAAGUGAAAUUGUUGAGCAAGAAAAUGAGAUCGUAGAGAGGCCUAUGCCAGACAACGAACCUCCACACCAAGAAGAAGAAAUAGAUCUUGAAGGCCUAAGACAAGAAGACAUCAGGACAGAUGUCGCAACAGGAAAUAGAUGGGCAAGAGAUCACACUCAAGAUCUAAUAAUUGGAGAUCCGAGUGCAAGAGUAAAAACAAGAGCUGCCACCCAGAAUGAAUGUUUUUAUCUAAGCUUCCUGUCACAAAUGGAACCUAAGAAGAUAGAGGAUGCUAUGGAAGACUCCAGCUGGAUAGAGGCCAUGCAAGAAGAACUUAACCAAUUUAAAAAAAGCAAAGUAUGGAGAUUGGUACCAAGACCAAAGAGUCAUCCUGUUAUUGGAACCAAGUGGGUCUUCAGGAACAAGAUGGAUGAAGAUGGAGUAAUAACUAGGAAUAAGGCAAGACUAGUGGCCAAGGGCUACUCUUAUGAAGAAGGCAUUGACUACGAUGAGACAUUUGCACCUGUUGCCAAACUGGAAGCCAUCAUAAUCUUCUUUACCUUUGCUGCUCACAUGAAAUUCAAGGUCUUUCAGAUGGAUGUCAAAAGUGCAUUGCUGAAUGGUGAACUUCAAGAAGAAGUCUAUGUAGAGCAACCUCCAGGUUUCAUCAAUUCAUCUCUUUCUAAUUAUGUUUAUAGAUUAGACAAAGCCUUAUAUGGUCUUAAUCAAGCACCUAGAGCAUGGUAUGAAACACUAACUAGUUUUCUUAUUGAAAAUGGAUUCACAAGAGGUAGAGUAGAUACGACAUUAUUCCUUAGAAAGCAUAAAGACAAAGUCUUAUUGGUUCAAAUAUAUGUUGAUGAUAUUAUUUUUGGUUCUACUGAUGAAAAGCUAUGUAAGAGAUUCUCCAAGCUUAUGCAGAGCAAGUUUGAAAUGAGUAUGAUGGGUGAGCUGAACUUCUUCCUUGGACUGCAAGUAAAGCAGACUGAUGAAGGAAUAUUCAUAAACCAAGCCAAGUACAUCAAAGAUUUACUUAAGAAGUAUGGCAUGGAAUCAGCCUAUCCCAUGAAAACCCAAUUGCUCCUGCAACCAAGCUUGACAAAGAUGAAAAAGGUAAAAGUAAUUAUAUAACUCAAUACAGAGGUAUGAUAGGCUCUCUUUUAUAUCUAACUACCAGUAGACCAGACAUAAUGUUUGCAAUAUGCAUAUGUGCUAGAUUUCAGGCUAACCCUAAAGAAUCAUAUUUAACUGCUGUAAAGAGGAUUUUCAGGUAUCUCAAGGGUACACCUCACUCGGGGCUUUGGUAUCCCAAGGAGUCCUCAUUUUAACUAACAGGAUACACAGAUGUUGAUUUUGCAGGCUACAAAAUAGAUAGAAAAAGUACCAGUGGCACCUGUCAAUUGCUAGAAAACAGAGUUGUGUCCUGGUUUAGCAAGAAAUAAAACUCAGUAUGUACUUCAACUAUAGAAGCUGAAUACAUUGCUGCUGGCAGUUACUGUGCUCAGAUUCUAUGGAUGAAAAAUCAGCUAGCAGAUUAUGGGUUUGAAUUCAAAUCCAUACCUAUUCACUGUGAUAACACAAGUGCCAUAGCAAUAACUCAUAAUCCUGUCAUGCAUUCUAGGACUAAACAUAUAGAAAUAAGGUAUCACUUCAUUAGGGAUCAUGUGCAAAAUGGAACUAUAUCUUUACAAUAUUUCCCUACUGAAAAUCAACUUGUUGAUGUCUUUACAAAGCCUCUAGAUGAUUCCAGAUUUAACAAGUUAAUAAGUGAGCUAGGAAUGCUUAAUUUACAACCAUGAAAUAUAUGCUCUAGUGUGUGCAAACCAUACAGAUAUAAAAGCUAUGAUUGAAAUCAUAGACAUGAUCAAGGGAAGUCCACGAUCGCAGAGCUGGAGUAACACAAACUCAACGAUCGUAGCACAGACUCAACGAUGGUAGAGCCCCAUCAACAAAACAAAAGAGCAUCCUGUGAUGAAAAAGUUCAAAACAAAGCAACCCCUCUGAUAAGCGCCUCAGGAACAAACCUAACCCUUGAUUCACUCUAUAAGGUUGGCCCUUCUUGAGUUACCUUAAAAGAAUGCUAAGUCAAAAACUCAUCACAAGGAUCCGGACAGACUCAUCGAUCGUAGUUCAGACACGACGACUGCUGGACAGACUCGACGAUCGUAGUUUAGACAUGACGACUGCUGGACAGACUCGACAAUCGUAGUUCAGACACGACGAUUGCUGGAUAAACUCGACGAUCGUAGUUUAGACACGACGAUUGCUGAACAGACACAACGAAUGUUGAGCAGACUCAACGAUCGCAAAGGCUACCUCAACGAUCGUAGUCCUCACUAAGGACACAUUAACUCAGAAGGAGCUAAAGGCAAUUCAGUACAAUCCUCCUCAGUCAAAUUCGUAGAGCCAAGCAGAAUUUGACACCUGCCCCACUAAACAAAAAAAAUGGAGAGAGGGAAACUACAAGUAUAGUUUGAAAAUGCCUUUUUUGAAAUCAGAAGUUCAAAAAGCUUAUCACUCUCCUCUCUCUUUCUCUCUCUCUCUCUCUACAAGAAGAAACCCUAACCUUUAAGAAAGCUUAGAUAACCAUAUUCCUUGCAAAGAAAUCAAUGGCAGCCUCCAACGUCGUCUCUGGCUACAGACUGUGCUUUGAUGAGUUCAUAACUGUUGAACCCAAAUUUUACAAGACUCUGACAUUGAUAAAGAAGGCAGGUCUCGAAGAAGCCCUAGGUAUGAGCACCUGGAUUUACCCGAAGCUGAUAAAGGAGUUUUACAAGAAUGGGGUAUUCGAAUAUAACGUUAUCACCACGAGGGUCAAGGACGUGGAAAUCAAACUCAGAAGUAAGGAUAUCAACCUAGCCCUAGGCUUCAAAAAUGAGGGGUUCUUGAUCAUAAAUGGCAUUGACUUUUAUGAAGGCCUAAAGAAGAUGCAUCACAAGAAAAUCCCCAUGGUCAAGGGAUAUAAGAAAAAGGAGUUUCCUAAGAGGUACGAAUUUCAGGCUGAUAUUAUUGCGAAGUACAUAUGUUACAAAAGCUCUGGCCAUGACUAUGUAAAUGUGGUACAACUCAAGCUCACAACUGCCAUAAGUUGUGGAAUGCAACUCAACUAUGGAGCUCUACUGCUUCAAAUGGAUUGGGAAAUGGAUCACCAGCUCGAAGAAGACAAAGAGCUCUCAAAAGAUGCUCUACGGGCGAUUUAUAAACAUCAUCCUACAGUCUGCUAUGGGUGAUAAAAUUGGGGAAAAUGAAGGAGAAUCCAUCAAUCCAAACCGACGAACAACUCAGCAGCUGUUUGAGAACUAGAAAUGGAACCCAGCUGAGAAUGUACGCAUGAUGUCAGAGUCCAGUGGAAGAACUGGUGAAAUAAAGGAAUUAUGGAUUCCAAGAAACAUGUCAGUCGUCAAAGAGACUGAAGAAGAAGAGGAAGAGACCAACAAGGAAGAAACCACUGCCCUUGUCAAAAAAAGCAAGGGCAAGAGAAAGCUAAAGACUAGAAUGGUAGAGGAACCUCAAGGGUCUACCACUGAUAUACCUAUAGAGUCCUCUGAUAUUGAGACUUUGAGAAUCCUAAGGAGAAAAGAACAAUUGGCUGAGGCAGAUGAAGACAGAGCCACCAUAUCACAGCUGCUGAAGAAGAAAAAAAAUCAGUCACAAGUCCAAGAGGCCAUCUGUCUCUUCGAUCAUAGAGUCUCUACCGAUCGUAGAGACCAGACUGAACACCUCAAGCAAGGAAGUUGCUGCACCAGAUGGCCUGACUGAUCAACAGGACAAAGCUGAAGCUGAAGAAAGUCCUGAGGCUGUGGCUCAGCCUAGAAAACCAAGAAGAAAAUUGGUUAAGAAGUACAUCCUGAUUAAUGAGGAGUACUCAAGGAGGAAGACAAGAGGAUGGCUGCUAAAAAGGAACUGUCCAAAGAAAGCCAAAAGGACAUAACUCAAGCUGAGGGGGAGACACCUGAAGUUCUCACCUUAGAAAAUACUCAAGCUGAGGAAAUACCUGAAGUUCUCAUGAUAGAAAAUGCUCCAGCUGAGGGGGAGCUAUUAGUCCUAUAGAUGGAUGAUCAUGUUGAGGGGGAGCCUCAUGAUAUCCCCAUUACAGAAGAAACUGCUCCUGCAUAAAAUGAGGGACAGCCUGAGCAAGAAAGUCAAAAUGAAGUCAUUGACAUAGUGGAAUCCUCAAAAGGAGAUGGAGAAGAAGAGGAAGACAAAGAUGAUGAUGAAAUUGAGAUCACAGGCGUGGGCCGGGAUGGGUAUAGGAGUUAUCUCUACAAUCAGUUGUUCUCCUAUCUCCCCAUGAUGCCCUAUCAUCAAGCUCAAAUUCUAAACUCCUGGAGUCACAUGUUUUGGAGCUUCAAAGAAUAUCCAGCCAUCUCUGUGCUAGCCCAUGGAUUUCUAGGCAACUUCAACUUUGCCAAGAAGCUGAUAACAAAUGGUCCCUCCUCAAGGAUGGUGCAUAAGGUAUUAUCUAUCCCAAUCCUGUUCAGAGUUAAUCACUAUCCACUAUCUUUCUUCAGCCAUUUUAUGAAUUUCCAAGCUGGUUGGAAGUCGUUUUAAAUCCACCAAGUCAAUCCCCAGUUUCAGAAUCCCAAAAUUCUGUAACUGAUGAACUAAAUGUUCCAAAGUACUUCACAUUGAUCCCAACUUCCAUGAACUCUACGAUUAAUGACUCUAGCCCCAUCGUAGAGUCCCAAGCUCAAAUCGUAGAGCCACCCUUUUCAGACACCCAAACAAAGUCCCCUCCAUCAGAUAUUCCCUCCAUCAGAUAUUCCCUAUUCAUCCACCAAAGAAUACUUCAACCUUGAUCUUACCCUCUACUCCUUGCAAGAUAAAUACAAGAAAACAUCCCCUCCUUUAAACAACCCACAACUCAGUGAACUACUUUCAUAUCUACCCACCAAAGCUGAGUUGACAGAAGUGUCCAAGAAACUGAUCAAGGAAAUCGAUGAUAUCCUUGAAGCUCACUCAAAACUCAUUCAUCUUAGAUUAACAAAAAUGAUCAGUGCUGUAAAUGGUUAAGAGCAUAAAGGACAAGGAUGACAUUCACUUUCUAGCAGCUAAAGGACAAAGAGAUGCAGUUCUUUCCUUACAGACAGCUCAAAAUGCCCAGAACAAACUUAUGCAGGAAAGCAUAAUCAAUCUGUAAAUUGCCGUAAAAGAAUUCCAACAAUUCUAUGUCACCCAAGGACAACAGACUGACAAUGUUCUAACCGUCCUUCGAAACAGGGAAGCUCGAUCUGAAGCUCUGAUCAAGGAAAAUCGAGAGGACAUUGCUCAAACGCAAAGCCAACUUAACGAGCUCAUCCAAGGAGUGACUCGCCUGUCCGAAGACAUUCGAACCUUUAAUGCUGACAUAAAGGGGGAGAAUGAAAGGAAAUGAGAUCAAGGCAAGGGCAAAGGCAGAGGACAAUUCCACAAUCAAUCCUCAAGGAGUCCUCCUACAAGGCCGACUCACCAACAGACUCCACGACCCGGCCAUCAGACUCAACGAUCUAAUCAGCAGGAAGUCUUAAUGGCUCAGCCUAUAAGGAAUCUAGGGCCAGCUACCAGCUCACACAAUGUGACCACCACAGGCCUCAGAAUGCCAAUUGGAGAUCCUGUAUUCAUGAAUAGGCAUGAUCACAAGCCUGGGCUAAGCCCAAGUGAGCUGGAAGAUCUAGCCAAGAGAGAUGAAGCAAACAGGAAAAGAAGGGCUGAGGAGUAUUCCAAUCCUCCACGCAAAAGAUCAAAGAAAUAGAGAUAAGUGAAAGUUUAAAUUAUUAUUGAUGUAAAACUAAAUUGUAAUAUUCUACGAACAUCAAUAAAUUCAUGCUUAUUCUCUAGAAAUUUUAGCUGCUCACUGAAAUACUAAGUCAUGUUUACUUUCCUGCAAAUGCAUCUAGAAACUAAUAAUCAUGACAACAAAUCUCCUUGAUUAUGUCAACAUCAAAUUGGGCGAGAUUGUUGGGAGAAUGCAUAUUUUGAUUUGAUGUUUAAAUAUAAAUGCUCAUGAUUAUAUGUAAAGUCCUUAGAGAAAUACAUAUAUAAGGACUUAGUGAAAGAUCAAAUUUGUUAGGUUGAUCUACAUGUUGAAGUGUAAUAGAUAGGCUUCAACAAGAAUCGUAGUGUAUCAAGCUGAUCAAGAUUAUAGAAGCUAAGGCAGAAACAUAAAGCAUCGAGGAUCGUAGUCUGCCUGCCUUAAAGGACCUUUUCCAAAAUUGUAGAGUGGUCCAACGUUUGCCGAGCCAACUCAGAGAUCGUAGUGUGCCCUCGGAAACGCAGAGUUUGCAACCACAAGCAAGUAAAGAUCGUAGUGUGCAAUUCUUUAAGAGAAAUCGUAGUGCUCUUGUUCGAUAGCAUCAGACCAAGCACCAAGGUGACAAGACAUCACGAUCUGGAUCAUAGAGUAUCAUCUGCCAUAUGUCAGAAGCAUCGAGCCCUACCUUUUGUUAGGAGACAAAUUCCAACAAAUGUGGAAUGGGUUUUCAACGUUGAAGUCCUCAUCAGUCACAAUGGUACAAAAGAUAUCCUUAGUAUACAACGAAAGAAAUGUAUUGAAGAAGCUAAGGAAAGGACCAUAGGGCAGAGGAAAACACAUUUUUAGGUGUUACGUGAGAAAGCAAACUGCUGUGUCAGUGGGCCACAACGCAAAUCAGAAGGUGUACAGAAAAGUCUCCAUUAAAGCUCAGAAAUGUCAAACGCAUUUAAUGCCUCAACAAAAGGCUUUAACGGAUAUAAUUCAAGGAACACAUAUAUGCAGAACAUGUGCAGAUGAGAGAUGCAAGCAAGCAUUGAACAAAAAUGCAUCAGAACUCUCAACACUCAAAUCUAUGAUCUGAGAAAAAGAGAAAGCUUGUUCAGCUACUCAGUUCUUUCGAACAAGUUCUUAAUAGCAACUGAGUAGCAACCAUCAAGAACUCAACGACUACCAAUCAACUGAAGUAAGAGUUCCAAGUCAGAAGGACUUGAAGAGUUCUAAGUAAACUAUGAAGAGCCAAGUCUGCUGGACUUGAAGAGUUCAAGAGUGAACUAAGAAGUUCCUAGACUGCAGGUCUAGAAGGAAUCUGUAUGAUUACGAAAGUGUAUAAGACAUCCUUAGUGGAUUUCCUACUCGAGGAGUAGAAGAGUGGACUAGGAGCUUUAUGUGCUUUGAACCACUUAAAACGACUGUGUCUAUUACAUUCUUGUUAUAACUGUCAUAUCUGCUAUAACUGCCUCACUCUCAUUAACUCACUAUCUUAAGGGAGAUUAAAACAAAUAUUAAUUUCGCUAAGUUUUAAUCAUUAUUAACUAACAAGUUAAAUCGAAAAGAAUUUAAAAAUAUCUAUUCAACCCCUCCCCCCUUCUAGAUAACUAUUGUGCCUCCGGGAACUAAUAAUUCCUAAUAUGGAUUAGAAAUAAUUUAUUCUCCUAAUCAAAUUAGGGAUCACAUCUCCUUGUCUUGGUCACCAACUAAUCUAACAUGUGACGUCCCCAAAAUAGGUAUACAUCACCCAUCUUGAGUCGCCAAAUAUAUGGUACAGAAUUCUAAUACAAACUUAAUUAUACAACAGUCGUGUAAAAUAUGACUAAACAUAUGCUGUGAGUUUUAAUACAAAUAUUGUCAUCUAGACAAUAUACAAACUCAAUGGGGUCCUCAUUACAUUUAUUAUCACACUAUUUCACAGAAUAGUGAGGACUACUAAUGCACCAUCUAAGACCAUCACUCUGUUCCCCGACUAGUCCCUGCUAUGUUCUCAUUUCCUGAAGAGAAUAAUGAAAGUAAAAGGGUGAGCUCAACUAGCCCAGUAAGAAAUAUUAUGACUAAGAUAAUGCAGAAUAAUUUAUCGUUAGCCUUCAACGCUGUUAAACUGAUAAAAUAUAAUAAACAUCAAGUUUAAAUGCAGCGGAAUAAGCAAUUUAUUAGAAGAGUUAAGUAGAGAAUAAAAUCUACUAUCUUCUAUGAUUUAAAAGGUUUUUCAUUACUUUUAUCGCUGAGACUCAACUGAACAAAUAAUCCACAUCAUCAAAUCAUCCCGACACUACAGGCCAAUGAUAUUCUUUAGUAUCAUGACCACAAAUUAUUCAUGCACUACGGGCCAAUGAUAAUCGUGUUUUCAUCAAUGGUCCUGAUCAUGCCAUAAAAUAAUUCAUCUUUGCACCCUUGGUCGAAGAGAAUCCAUAGCCAUAAUCAUACCAAAAACUGUUCAUCAAUGCACUACGUGCCAAUGAGGAUUUGUUUUUCACUUCAUUUGUAAUAUUACGGUCAUGAUUAUAUCGAAUAAUCCCUGGUCAUAAUCAUACCAAGUCCAUCUAUGCACUACAGGCCACAGAUGACUUUCAACAUAAUAUAAACAUGAGGGUGAUGAUAAUGAUAUAAGAAUUCAAUAAAACAAGUUCAAGAAUUAAAUUAUCCAGGAACUAAUAACGUCCAAAUUGUCAACAUGAUACUUCUUUGUAGAGUAAAAAUUCAACAAUGCUCAGAAGAAUAUUUCCAUGAAAAGAUACUGGAUGAAGCGCAAAUAUCAAGGAUAUGCCACCAAUUUCAUGGAGUAUAGAAGUCAAAACUUUAACCAACUGAGUAUAAUAAAGAAUGGAAUAACAAAAGAAAUUGCCAGGCAUGCAAUAGACCGCACAGACAGGUUAUUUCAACAGAAUAAUAAAUAACGGAACCAGGUCAUGCGUAAACGCACAGACAGGAUAUUCCAACAGAAUAAUAAAUAACAGAACCAGGUCAUGCAUAAAGCACAGACAAGUUGUUCCAACAUAAUGAUAAAUAAUGGAACCAGGUCAUGCGUAAAGCACAGACAGGAUGUUCAAACAGAAUGAUAAAUAAUGGACACAGAUCAUGCAUAAAGCACAGAUAUAAUGUUCCAACAGAAUAAUAAAAUAUGGAAUAACAGAAGAAUUUCACCAAGUAUAGGGUAGCCCGCGUAUAUAGGUUAUUCCAACAGAAUAAUAAAUAAUGGAAUAACAGAAAUUCUCUUCACGAAUAAGAAAGAAAGAAUACCCCUUACGAGUACAACAAAUAAUAUCCUUUACCUUUAAAAGAAGAGUAUUCUGACUGGUAAGGUGAGGAUAUACUCGAAGAAAAGUUGCACUACGCUCAAAGCUUUCUUAAACUCUAAAGAAAUACACUUAAGAUUAUAGAAGAAGAACUCUCUCUAUAGUUUCUCUCUCUAGAGUUUCAGUGAAUUCGUAAGAAAUAAUGAAGGAAUGAGCUUCUAUUUAUAGAAGAAUGGACUGCAUAGUAACUAAUUCAUGAACGGUUCAGAUUGAUUUACUUUNNNNNNNNNNNNNNNNNNNNNNNNNNNNNNNNNNNNNNNNNNNNNNNNNNNNNNNNNNNNNNNNNNNNNNNNNNNNNNNNNNNNNNNNNNNNNNNNNNNNUUGAGUGUUGAAUACGAUCCUUCUUAUCCAAGAUUUUAACACGUAUCUCCUCAUACGUUAAAUCUUCUGCUAUAUCGUUUAGUUCUAAUUUAAUAAUGUGGUUCGGGUCGUCCACAUAUUUAUGUAACAUCGAUACGUAAAAAAAACGUUCUGAACACGCAACAUACUUGGCGGUAAAAUGAGUCUAUAGGCCACAGUUCCUACUUCAUCGAGAAUUUCAAAUGGGCCAAUUAAAUCGAGGGUUGAGAUUUUCUCUCUUCGUUGAUUCUUGCAUGUAGAAUAACGCCCUCUUGAACCUUCUUCUUCACAUUCAUCAGCUCUGGGUGUGUAGCUUGAGCGGCUUUAACGUUAUCGAUUAAAGUCGAUUCUACUCGUAUAUUCGUUAUCUUCACGUGGGUUCCUAGAGUCUUUGUGACAUCCCAGAUUUUUAGAAAUUAUAAAUGAGAAUUUUAUAAAUAAAAGUAUUAUUUAUGAGAUAUGUUGGGUGUGAGUAUGUGUAUGUCAUAUAUUGUAGAAUAUGUGAAUUGAUGUGAAGAGAAUGUUAUAUAUUAAUUUUAAUAUAUAUAAAUAUUUAAUUGAAUUAUUUAUUGAGUUAAAUAAAUAAAUUUNNNNNNNNNNNNNNNNNNNNNNNNNNNNNNNNNNNNNNNNNNNNNNNNNNNNNNNNNNNNNNNNNNNNNNNNNNNNNNNNNNNNNNNNNNNNNNNNNNNNUCCAACAGAAUAAUAAAUAACGGAACCAGGUCAUGCGUAAACGCACAGACAGGAUAUUCCAACAGAAUAAUAAAUAACAGAACCAGGUCAUGCAUAAAGCACAGACAAGUUGUUCCAACAUAAUGAUAAAUAAUGGAACCAGGUCAUGCGUAAAGCACAGACAGGAUGUUCAAACAGAAUGAUAAAUAAUGGACACAGAUCAUGCAUAAAGCACAGAUAUAAUGUUCCAACAGAAUAAUAAAAUAUGGAAUAACAGAAGAAUUUCACCAAGUAUAGGGUAGCCCGCGUAUAUAGGUUAUUCCAACAGAAUAAUAAAUAAUGGAAUAACAGAAAUUCUCUUCACGAAUAAGAAAGAAAGAAUACCCCUUACGAGUACAACAAAUAAUAUCCUUUACCUUUAAAAGAAGAGUAUUCUGACUGGUAAGGUGAGGAUAUACUCGAAGAAAAGUUGCACUACGCUCAAAGCUUUCUUAAACUCUAAAGAAAUACACUUAAGAUUAUAGAAGAAGAACUCUCUCUAUAGUUUCUCUCUCUAGAGUUUCAGUGAAUUCGUAAGAAAUAAUGAAGGAAUGAGCUUCUAUUUAUAGAAGAAUGGACUGCAUAGUAACUAAUUCAUGAACGGUUCAGAUUGAUUUACUUUUAAUCGGACGGUCCAUAUUUAAAGCAAAAUCUUUUAAAUAAAAUAUAAUUUAUUCUGUUUAUAAUCUAAUAAAAUGAAUAACUUUAUAAAAGUAUUCUGUUUUAUAUAAAAAGAUUUUACUAUGCAAAACACUGUGCAGNNNNNNNNNNNNNNNNNNNNNNNNNNNNNNNNNNNNNNNNNNNNNNNNNNNNNNNNNNNNNNNNNNNNNNNNNNNNNNNNNNNNNNNNNNNNNNNNNNNNNNNNNNNNNNNNNNNNNNNNNNNNNNNNNNNNNNNNNNNNNNNNNNNNNNNNNNNNNNNNNNNNNNNNNNNNNNNNNNNNNNNNNNNNNNNNNNNNNNNNNNNNNNNNNNNNNNNNNNNNNNNNNNNNNNNNNNNNNNNNNNNNNNNNNNNNNNNNNNNNNNNNNNNNNNNNNNNNNNNNNNNNNNNNNNNNNNNNNNNNNNNNNNNNNNNNNNNNNNNNNNNNNNNNNNNNNNNNNNNNNNNNNNNNNNNNNNNNNNNNNNNNNNNNNNNNNNNNNNNNNNNNNNNNNNNNNNNNNNNNNNNNNNNNNNNNNNNNNNNNNNNNNNNNNNNNNNNNNNNNNNNNNNNNNNNNNNNNNNNNNNNNNNNNNNNNNNNNNNNNNNNNNNNNNNNNNNNNNNNNNNNNNNNNNNNNNNNNNNNNNNNNNNNNNNNNNNNNNNNNNNNNNNNNNNNNNNNNNNNNNNNNNNNNNNNNNNNNNNNNNNNNNNNNNNNNNNNNNNNNNNNNNNNNNNNNNNNNNNNNNNNNNNNNNNNNNNNNNNNNNNNNNNNNNNNNNNNNNNNNNNNNNNNNNNNNNNNNNNNNNNNNNNNNNNNNNNNNNNNNNNNNNNNNNNNNNNNNNNNNNNNNNNNNNNNNNNNNNNNNNNNNNNNNNNNNNNNNNNNNNNNNNNNNNNNNNNNNNNNNNNNNNNNNNNNNNNNNNNNNNNNNNNNNNNNNNNNNNNNNNNNNNNNNNNNNNNNNNNNNNNNNNNNNNNNNNNNNNNNNNNNNNNNNNNNNNNNNNNNNNNNNNNNNNNNNNNNNNNNNNNNNNNNNNNNNNNNNNNNNNNNNNNNNNNNNNNNNNNNNNNNNNNNNNNNNNNNNNNNNNNNNNNNNNNNNNNNNNNNNNNNNNNNNNNNNNNNNNNNNNNNNNNNNNNNNNNNNNNNNNNNNNNNNNNNNNNNNNNNNNNNNNNNNNNNNNNNNNNNNNNNNNNNNNNNNNNNNNNNNNNNNNNNNNNNNNNNNNNNNNNNNNNNNNNNNNNNNNNNNNNNNNNNNNNNNNNNNNNNNNNNNNNNNNNNNNNNNNNNNNNNNNNNNNNNNNNNNNNNNNNUUAACUAGUAAUUAGUAUAUCUAAUAAUUACUAGGAGUUACAUAUAUUAUAUAUUACUAGUAUUGUAUAUUAUAUGUAUAUACUACAAGUUAGUAUGUUAGUUUUAGAAAACAAACCAAAGAAAGAAGAAGAGAGUUAGAGAGAGUUGUAGGAGAAGAAGAAGAGGAAGAAAAAGAAGAAGAAGGGAAAGCUUUGGGAAGACAAAACAAGCCCCAUCAUCAUCAUCUCCAUCUCUCUCGUAAAUUCAUACUAAUAAAGUUAUAAUCUAAAUUCCUUAUUUUAAUUAUAUUUUUAUGUUCUUCAUAAUGUAGAUAAUUGUUAUGUAGAAGUUGUAUUGAGAAAUUGAGAGAGAUAGAGAGAAGAAGAAGAAGAAGAAGAAGAAGAAGAAGAAGAAGAAGAAGAAGAAGAAGAAGAAACUAGAAGAAGGUAACUUCUAAACUCUUAUUUAAUCCUUGAUUUUUUUUGGGUAGAUUUAUGUUAUAGGGUAGUAGAUCAUGCUUAAUCUUGUUUGUAUUUGUUUAAUCUUGGAUUAUCAAGAAUCAAACAAGAGGAUUCAAGAAAUAAAAUGAAAUGGAAAGAAAAUUUGAAUAACAAAAUUCGUAGGUUUUUAGUAAUUGUGGACAUAUCGUGUGAAAUUCAUACCUCUUUGGGUAUAAUGAGUUAGAAAGUGAGCCUUAUAUCAAAUCGAAGAUAUGGAAGUAAGCUAUAUUAUGAAAGUGGAAUCACAUGAAAACUCUUUGUAGAUUUCUUGCAAUGUAUAUUUUAGUAAGGCUGGUCCGAAGGGAAAAUAAUCUGUCCAGAAAAUCAAAACUGUUACGGUUUCUGACUUUGAAAAAUUCAUUUAAAUUCGUGUGUUUUGAAUCUGAAGAAACUUAAAACUGCAAAGUUGUAGAUAUGGAAGUUUACUAGCUAGACUCUUGAGAUUGAGCCAUUUUAUGGACCGGAUCAUGUCCGAAAUAAAUUGUUUAGUAAGGAUAUCCAGAAAAUGAAAUUUUCUAGACUAGUUGAUGAAUUACAGAAUCUGGUUUAGAUGGAUAAGGGUCUGACUUUAAGGCCUAGUGAGGUUGUAGUACACUGAGUAAGGGUUAAUUAUAUAUAAGAAGGAACAAAAACGGACAUGUAACGAAUGAGUUACGUUAAAAACGAAAAUAACGUGUUAUCAUACGACAAAACGGACAUGUAACGAAUGAGUUACGUUAAAAACGGACAUGUUUUUGACAUAUGUAAUGAGUAAAGAUAUGUGUUAUCAUAUUCUAUGCAUAAUUAACCAUUUAAGAUCAACAGUUGAGAUAAGUUAAUGUGUGCACAUAACGUGCUCGAUAAAAUGCCUAAGAGUAAUAGUGUUUUCUAAACUUUGGUAUACAAAGUGUCUAACUAAUGGCUAAUAUUGGAUAUCUAAGUAUGAAAAGAUGAUAAUACAAGAAUAAUAAUGGAAAGAAAUCAAAAAAGGGUAAUUUUUGAUUUAUGAAGGAAAAUUAAACAUGUAAACAAUGUGUUGAAUAUGUAUUUUUUGAAACCAAAGUGGUAGAAUAAAAUGGUGUGAUAUACGCACAUUAAACUACAAGUGUGAUAGUCUAGCAUGUGUGGUGAUGAAAAUGAAAAAUAAAACUGAGUUGCAUAUAAAAUAGUUAGAUGUCUAUAAAGACAUUAUAAAGGAUAAUAAGAUAAAGUAAGGUCUUAGAAUAAAUUUGACCAUGAGAUUGAGUAUUAAUUUUAUUUAUUAUCAAUCUCAUAUACAGUGUAGGUUGUGCAAGGACGCGAAGUAUUAGCGUGUUGGUAAAACGCCGGUAAAGGCAAGUCUUGCAGUUCCUUUUUGCUAUGUGAACUUGAUGAUGAUCUGCUUUAAAAUUUUAGUGUAUGGUGUAUUAUAUAUGUCAAAAGUAUGAAAUGUGAAAGUCAAUCUAUGACUAUGAUGAUUGAACUAUGAAUGUUGAUUGAGUAAGGAACUCAAUCUUUAUAGUUGUUAUGUGAACUAUAACAUGUAUGCUAUGUUUGUUUAUGAUUAUUCUUGUAUGUUGAGCAUGUUAUUAUAUGCUACGUGAUGCAUGAAAACUGUUAGAUUUUGUUGAGCUGUCAAGCUCAUUCUUGCAAAUAACCAUUUUUGCAGAUUCAAGAAUUGAAGGUAACGCUAUGUGCUACUUGAUUGUUAUGGAUCAAAAGUGAUAUAUGAAGAUUUAAUAUCCUAGCUAAAUUGUUAUUCUUAUAAACCAUGUCUAAUGUUUCGAAUAAUGUAUUAAUGUUGUAUUGUAAUAUUGUUUUGCGAAUGUAAACUAUUGUAGUAUUAAAAUGAUUUUGAGAUAUUUAGACGUAAAGGUUGAAGGUUUUGGGAACGAGGUUUGUAAUAUAAAAUUUUAAUUAUUCCGCAAAUUUCAAUGGUUGUAUUAUCGUUUAAUGAUGUAAAAUUAGAGGUUGAAUGUAUUAUUAACAACCGAAGUUGAGAAUUAAAUUGUAUGAAUUGUGGGGUCGUUACAGUCUUUAACUCUAUCUUCAUCAUUUGUAAGUCGUACAAAAUGGGUCUUUGUGUUAACAACAUCGCACUCGUAAACGCAUAUGAUCUUCUACUCAACGCGUCAGCUACCACGUUCGCUUUCCCACGAUGGUAUUGAAUAGUACGAUCGUAAUCUUCAAUAGAUCGAGCCAACGUCUUUGGCGCAUGUUACGUUCACUUUAGUUGAAGAAAUAUUUAAGGGUUUAAGAAAUGGGUUUUGUACUGGGGUCAAUACAAAAUUCGAUUUCACGCUCUAGGGGUAGGCUAAGAAGUCUUCAAGAAAACGUCAGGAAAUUUAUUAACAAUAGAAAUAGCAUUCAAAGUGUGACCCUCAUUCAAGACUUGGAUAGUACGUCACAUUGAUACCUAUAAACUUGCCAUCGUCAUUCACGACGUCGCCUAUAGAAAGUCUGGCUUCGGUGCAUUCCACACAAGGAAAUCAACAAUGAAAGGUUCGGGGCUCUUUACUUAUGGCUUGAUAUGGCAAUGAUUGACUUUACUGGUUUGGUUGCUUGAAUUUGCAUAACAGGUUGAUUAGGAAUAUAAAAGCUAACAACCUUACAAAAAGCAUGAUGAGUAGUUAACCAAUCGAUUCCUAAAAUCACAUCAAAGGCAAGUAUUUUCAAAGAGAUAAGAUUGACAUGUAACGUGAAAUUAUCAAUUUGAAUUAAACAAGAUUUAUAAAUAGUGGAUGUAACGAAGGUUUCUCCCAACUGAGUUUCAACAGAUAAAUCAAAAUCUAACUUCUCCGGAGUUAAAUUCAAACUUUGAACACAACUAGGUGAAAUAAAAGAGUAAGUAGAACCGGUAUCUAACACGGUAUAGACUUCGCAAGAGUUUAUGACUAACAUACCCGUUAUAAUUUUAUUCAGGUUCCUUGUCACGAAAAAAAAAUGCUCUCUUAAACUACCGGCUUUAGCUUGUCUGGGACAUCCUUUGGCAUCACUAUCCCAACUGCACUUGACUUCACCAUACGACAAAAUCGAGCUAGGUGACCUUCUCUUCCGUAAUUAAAACACGUUUUGGAUUGCUGCGUACAGUUUGGACGAAUGUGACCCUCCUGUCCGCAUUUGAAAUAUACGACCGGUGGUCAUUCUUCUUCCUUUGAAACGGGUGCUGGUGCUGCUGUCUUUCUAUCAUUAUUGAACCUUCUCUUCUUGAAAUUUCCACUUCUAUUAUCUUGGCCAUGAUUACCACCGAAAUGGUUACCAUUCAUGGCAUGAUAAUUACCCCCACGAUGGUUAUCAUUAUUCCGAUGACCGUUGCCACUGGUACGAUUAUUAUCAUGUUGUUGGUCGUUGCCUUUUGGUUGUGCUGAUUCAUUAUCGCGCUCCAAUAACUGAGCCCUAUUCACAACAUCUGAAUAUAAACAAAGUUUGUGAGAAAUGAGGUAUUGACGUAUAUUGGGUUUCAAACCUCUUAGAAACAUUCGCGUCAUUCGCUCCUCAUUAUCGACCAAAUGGGAUGAAAACAGAGACAACUCGGCAAACUUAGCAUCGUACUGUGACACGGUCAUAUUGUUUUGCUCCAGCUUGAUGAACUCCACCUCCUUCAUGUGACGAAUACUUUCGAGAAAGUACUUGUCGUUGAACAAUUCUUGGAACUUCUCCCAAGACAUCUUGAGUGUGUCAGGCUAGGUACGUUUUACAGAUUCGCACCAGUAAUCUGCCUCUUCACGCAACAUAAAGGUGGCAAAGGGAACCUUUUGCUCCUCGGAGCAUCCCAAGACAUCAAAUAUCUUGGUGAUCUACUUUAACCACGUCUCUGCCUUAAGUGGUUCUGGCUUUCCCAAAAACUCUGGUGGUCCCAGCUCCUUGAACUGCUUAGCGGUGACCGACCGUGGGUUACCAUUAUUUCCACCUGCAUUUUGGACAGGAGCCGCUUUUGCCUGAUGUUGCAUGAAUUGUAUAAAGCCUCUGAACAUUCCAUCGUUCAUCAUUUGGUCCGUGUUGUUGUUUGCCUGAGGAUUGCCGCCUUCCUGAUGCACAUUAUUCUGAUUAUUGAUCGGUGGAGACUCAACGGUCUCCUGUGCUCCAUUGAUAUUCUUAACAUUCUCGGAUGUCAUUUUCAAACGCUGCCACAAAACAAGGGUUAAUUAGCAUAUCACAUAUUAUCCCUAUACUCUAACCGACCAAUUAAAUACCAAAUAAACUUAGGUAGGUCAUAUUAGCGAAGGAAUUCCCCGUCUCUCCCCUCCUAGUUCUUGUCUCACAUCUCAGCCAGGGAUCAUAUCCCUAAGCUUUGAUACCAACUGUGACGCCCCCAAAAUAGGUAUACAUCACCCAUCUUGAGUCGCCAAAUACAUGGUACAAAAUUCAAAUACAACUUAAUUAUACAACAGUCGUGUAAAAUACGACUAAACAUAUGCUGUGAGUUUUAAUACAAAUAUUGUCAUCUAGACAAUAUACAAACUCAAUGGGGUCCUCAUUACAUUUAUUAUCACACUAUUUCACAGAAUAGUGAGGACUACUAAUGCACCAUCUAGGACCAUCACUCUGUUCCCCGACUAGUCCCUGCUACGUUCUCAUUUCCUGAAGAGAAUAAUGAAACUAAAAGGGUGAGCUCAACUAGCCCAGUAAAAAAUAUUAUGACUAAGAUAAUACAGAAUAAUUUAUCGUUAGCCUUCAACAGUGUUAAACUAAUAAAAUAUAAUAAACAUCAAGUUUAACUACAGCGGAACAAGCAAUCCAUUAGAAGAGUCAAGUAGCGAAUAAAAUCUAAUAUCUUCUAUGAUUUAAAAGGUUUUUCAUUACUUUUAUCGCUGAGACUCAGCUUAAUAAAUAAUCCACAUCAUCAAAUCAUCCCGACACUACAGGCUAAGGAUAUUCUUUAGUAUCACGACCACGAAUUAUUCAUGCACUACGGGCCAAAGAUAAUCGUGUUUUCAUCAACGGUCCUGAUCAUGCCAUAAAAUAAUUCAUCUUUGUACCCUUGGCCGAAUAGAAUCCAUAGCCAUAAUCAUACCAAAAACUGUCCAUCAAUGCACUACGGGCCAAUAAGAAUUUUUUUCACAUCAUUUGUAACAUUAUGGUCAUGAUUAUACCGAAUAAUCCCUGGUCAUAAUCAUACCAAGUCCAUCUAUGCACUAUAGGCCACAGAUGACUUUCAACAUAAUAUAAACAUUAGGAUGAUGAUAAUGAUAUAAGAAUUCAAUAAAACAAGUUCAAGAAUUAAAUUAUCCAGGAACUAAUAACGUCCAAAUUGUCAACAUGAUACUUCUUUGUAGAGUAAAAAUUCAAGAAUGCUCAGAAGAAUAUUUCCAUGAAAAGAUACUAGAUGAAGCGCAAAUAUCAAGGAUAUUCCACUAAUUUCAUGGAGUAUAGAAGUAAAAACUUUAACCAACUGAGUAUAAUAAAGAAUGGAAUAACAAAAGAAAUCACCAGGCAUGCGAUAAACUGCACAGACAGGGUAUUCCAAUAGAAUAAUAAAUAACGGAACCAGGUCAUCAAUACCACGCGUAUUACUGUGUGCUACUAUGCAACCACGCGUAUUACUGUACUUUUACUACAGAGUAGUUCAAUAGUUUUAACGGUAAAACUUCCGCCGUUAUUUUCAUAAAAAUAUUUUUGUUGUUUUCUCAAUCCGACAAUAAUUUCGUUGUGGGAUCCACCAAUGAUUGUACCGUCGUACGAAUAUUCUCUGACAAAAAGAAUAUUCCCCGAUCAAUCGAAUAUUCUACAACAACUUGCAUUCUUUGUAAAAGUUAUAAAUAUUACCCACAACUAUAACAUUAUCUCAAAUCCACACCAUAAUAUUCAAAAAAAUAUUUAGAGAAAAUUAAAUCUUUAUUCAUAAAAUCUGGGGUCUCACAUAACACAUAAAUUCUUUUUCAACGUGGAUUCUUUUCAUAGAAUCUCCAAUUCAAAUAUUGCUUCUAUUAACCCAAUUUCUAAUUGGAUUAAUAUCAAGUAAACCCACUUACUUGUUCACAAAGAAAAUUAAUUCUUUUCUAUCUUGGAUUCUAUCUCAUGGGUGAGGACCCACACCCAACAAUCUCCCCCUCCGAACCCAUGAGAGAAGGGAUCACCAACCACAACUCCUUACUCGGAGUCAAUUCCAACGAAGUCUUGGCUCAACUCAAGUUUCUUGGAAUUUUAAAAUAUCUUCAUGUCUGGCUUUGUCUCAUCGGCAUGGUUCUUCUCAAUGGGAGGAUCUAACUCAAACUUGACAGAUUUUUGCUUGCCAAAUUCAUUCACAACCGCUUUGUACAUUGGCUGCGAGCUAUCACUUUCUUUCUUCACUUUUGGUACCCAUUUAAAGCAAAGAGCUUUUCUCUUGUAGUUCUCAUGCAAGGCUUUUCUCCCAUCUCGGACGGUUUUGUACCACACCUUUUUCUGCCUAACUCCCCCAUCUUCAACACCUCUCACAUGCGCCCACAUCGUAUAAAUAGUGUUUACCUUCUUACCUCUAGUCACCACUAGAGACCCUUUGGUGAGCUUCCAUUAACCUUCACUAAAGUAACUUUUAUAACCAUUCUCAUCAAACUUACCAGCAGAGAUCAAAUUAAAACGAAUAUCCGGAACAUGUCUGACUUUUCUCAGCAUUAACUUGCAACCACUGUUAGUUUCCAAACAAAUAUCUCCAAUUCCUAUAAUCUUGGAUGCACUUCUGUUUCCCAUCCGCACAUGGCCAAAAUCACCACUACUAUAGGAUGUGAAGAUUUCACCACGCGAAGUAGCAUGGAAUGAAGCACCCGAAACAAUAAUCCAAUCAUUAACAUGGCACUUGGGUUUAUCAGCACAAACAAUAGUUGCAUCAACGUCGGAUAGAUACACAAUCAAAUCUUUAUCCUCACCUUUUUCCUUAGACUGCUCCUUUAAAAAUCUGCACUCUCUUCUUAUGUGACCUAGCUUCUGGCAGUGAAAACAAAUUACUUCUUUUCUAUCUCUUGACCUUCCCCUGGAUUUGUCAUCUUUAGGAGAGUUUCUCCCUUUGUUUUUGCCCCUACUCUGUGUGACAAAAACUUAUGAAUCAACACUAAUCACCAUAGUAUCUCUUCACCUCUGUUCCUCGUUAAACAAAUUAUCCUUAACUAUAUCCAUAGUCAGCUUGCCAUUAGGAGCGGAGUUACUCAACGAUACAACCAACAUCUCCCAGCUAUCAGGCAAAGAGCUCAACAACAACAAAGCCUGCAUCUCAUCGUCAAUUACCAUCUUCAUCGUACUCAACUGAUUUAUCAAACUCUGAAAAUCACUCAAGUGUUCUGCAACGGCGUUUCCAUCCUUGAAUUUAGAAUUCACAAGCUUCUUAAUCAAAAAAGCUUUAUUUUGCGCCGUCUUCCUUUCAUACAUGGACUCCAAUUUCUAUCAGAGAGCAUAGGCUUUAGUUUCUGUGGCAAAAUGAUGAAACACACUUUGAUCAAUCCACGAUCUGAUCAGACCAAUAGUGUUUCUGUUCAUCUUGUUCCACUGCGCGUCACUCUUGUUUGUGGGCUUAACUCCAUCGUUAUCAAGUGGCUCAUACAAAUCCUAACAAUAAAGCAAAUCCUCCAUUCUUGGCUUCCAAAUUGCAUAAUUUUUAGCCUUACGAUUAAUCAUGCAACCUACUGUCCAAUCCUCCAUUUAAUUCGCACAAGAAAACCACAAAAAUAACCAAGCUCUGAUACCACUGUUGGGAAAAGUACGCCAAAAAUAAUCUAUAUCCCAGGAAUUACUUUUCUGUCUUUGUGCAAUUAAAUAUGAAAUCAACAAAACCAAUUAUGAGAACAAAAAUAACAAAUAACCAUCCACAAGAAAGACACCAAAUUUACGUGGAUAACCCUCUAAAAUUAAGAGGUAAAAACCACGGUCAAACUCCGAAUCUCCACUAUAUCACUAAUAAUGAGCUUACAAUAAUCCUCUCAAGUUUUAUGCCCUAAAACUUGAGGUUACACAAUAAAUUGAGAUAGUAUAAAUUUACCUUUAAUUAGGUUGAGAAACCUAAUUAACU
rnacentral:lncRNA from 1 species